GUAGGUGGCAAGCGUUGUCCGGAAUUAUUGGGCGUAAAACGCGCGCAGGUGGUUCUUUAAGUCUGAUGUGAAAGCCCCCGGGCUCAACCGGGGAGGGUCAUUGGAAACUGGGGAACUUGAGUGCAGGAGAGGAAAGUGGAAUUCCACGUGUAGCGGUGAAAUGCGUAGAUAUGUGGAGGAACACCAGUGGCGAAGGCGACUUUCUGGCCUGUAACUGACACUGAGGCGCGAAAGCGUGGGGAGCAAACAGGAUUAGAUACCCUGGUAGUCCACGCCGUAAACGAUGAGUGCUAAGUGUUGGGGGGUUUCCGCCCCUCAGUGCUGCAGCUAACGCAUUAAGCACUCCGCCUGGGGAGUACGGUCGCAAAGACUG
rnacentral:rRNA from 1 species